rnacentral:SRP_RNA from 1 species
CGAGAGAUUGGCGGACGGGCAUCUUCGCCAACCCGGUCAGGCCCGGAAGGGAGCAGCCGUAACGAAACAUCCCGGGUCGUUCAAUCUCUCACCG